rnacentral:rRNA from 1 species
CCUACGGGUGGCAGCAGUCGAGAAUCAUUCACAAUGGGGGAAACCCUGAUGGUGCGACGCCGCGUAGGGGAAUGAAGGUCUUCGGAUUGUAAACCCCUGUCAUGUGGGAGCAAAUUAAAAAGAUAGUACCACAAGAGGAAGAGACGGCUAACUCUGUGCCAGCAGCCGCGGUAAUACAGAGGGCUCAAGCGUUGUUCGGAAUCACUGGGCGUAAGGCGUGCGUAGGCUGUUUCGUAAGUCGUGUGUGAAAGGCGCGGGCUCAACCCGCGGACGGCACAUGAUACUGCGAGACUAGAGUAAUGGAGGGGGAACCGGAAUUCUCGGUGUAGCAGUGAAAUGCGUAGAUAUCGAGAGGAACACUCGUGGCGAAGGCGGGUUCCUGGACAUUAACUGACGCUGAGGCACGAAGGCCAGGGGAGCGAAAGGGAUUAGAUACCCUAGUAGUC